rnacentral:lncRNA from 1 species
CUGGUAUACAGAUUAGGUCAAAUAUCUGUGGAAUGAAUAUGGCAUUCUCGCCUAUUCACUUCAAUGCUUUACUUGGUUUGCCUAACUCUGGGAUAGAGUUAGAUGCUUUUGAGAAGGAUACCAGAUACAGAGAUGAUCUUCUGCAUCUCAUCUGCACUGAUUUUUCAUUGACAGGCAAAGUCAAAGGACUAACUGAUGAAUGCAGAGUUCUUUUCAAGAUCAUCUUAGCAGCUAUCAGUCCAAGGGUUGGUGGGACUGAUACAAUCUCCUGGACUCAUCGUCAUCUGCUGUAUUUCCUUCUGACAGGAAAGAAGGUGAAUCUUGGAGACUACUUUUUUGAAAGGAUAUGUGAAGCAAUCUU